rnacentral:snRNA from 2 species
AUCUCUUCUCGGCCUUUUGGCUAAGAUCAAGUGUAAAGGGCACUGUAUGUUCAGGGACUUCAAUCUCACCCUCAUUCUGCUUGAGUAUUUCUGUCCCACUUGUCCUUCAGAUUCUUCUUAUUUUUAUUAUUUGUGGCUAGAUGGGGUAAGAUUCAUAGGCUCCAGGGACCAUAUCUGUUUUAUUUGCCAGUGUAUACUCGGCAUAUAGCAUAGUAUUU